UCAAGAGUCGGACACUUAACUGACUGAGCCACCGGAUGCUGCAACACAAGAGCAUUUUCUGACACGCCAAAAGCACAAGCCACAAGGAAAUUUGCCUCUGUCAAAAUAGAAAGUGAAUAACAACCAAAAAUACCAUGAGAACUGGCAAGGUGAUAAAGUACAAAAAGACACUGUGACUUACAUAUAAGAGUUAGUGUUGAGAAUAAUACAUACAAUUGAAAACCGGGCACAGGAUAUGAACAGAGUUCACAGGUGAUGAAGUGUGAAAAGCAAACAACGUUACUGGUAAUUAAGGAAAUGAAAACAAAACCACAGAGGCAUCAUUUUGGACCAGACUGGCAAAUGUCACGUAGAGGUGACAUCAGGAAAGCAAUGAAUCUCCUACAUUUUGUAUGUUGCUGGAGGGAUGUCAAACUAAUAAAACCACUUUAGAUAACAAUUUGGCAGAUACUAAAAAAGGUGAGGGUAUGUGUAGCCUGUGACCUCAAAUUCUAUUUCUAAGGAUCUACCUUAGAGAAACCGUUUUGUGUGUAUACGAGGCGACAAAUUAUAAGGGCAACUUAAUAAAGGAUUCCAGGAAAUUAAUAACCUAAAUGUCCAUUGGGAAAAGAAUGGUUAAUUACAGGGUGUGCAUGCAAUGAGAUAAUCAGCAGUUAAGGGGCGCCUGGCUGGCUCAGUCAGAAGAGCACGCAACUCUUGGUCUCGGGGUUGUGAGUUCGAGCCCCAUAUUGGGUGUAGAGGUUACUUAAAAGCUUAAAAAAUUUUUUCUUAAUGUGUGGCAGUGAAUACAGCAGAUGCAGGAGCUGUCUGCAUUCAUGUUAAUAAACGAAUUUCACUGA